rnacentral:lncRNA from 1 species
GCGGCCGCCGGGUCACACCCAGGCGCAGAGUUGCUCGUCCUCGUCGGGGCGCCCCGGGGGGCGGCGGGGUCCGGGGGUCCCAGCUGCAGCUCCCCCACACAAAGACCUCAUUUCAAAGGGCUUGACUCCGGUAGCUGCCCCAUCAGUAGCUGCCACCUGGAGGCCAGCCCCCCACCCCCUGUCCCAGCCCCAGCCCCGCUGCUCCCUCAUCUGAACACCUUGUCGGUGUCCUCCGCCUGCGUCUCAGAGUGGAUGAGAGGGGACCUGGGAUGCGCGUGAGCCGCAGGGUGUGGGGCCCGUACACGGCAGGCACUCAGCAGGCUGCCAGGGACCACAGGCACCCUCGCGUCUGAACCCAGCCAUCCCGAGCAGAGGAAAGGCAGAUUUUCCAGGACAAGAACCUGUGUUCCAUCAUUUUUUUUUUUUUUUUGGAGACAGUCUCA